rnacentral:rRNA from 1 species
AUCGAACGCUGGCGGCAGGCCUAACACAUGCAAGUCGAACGAGUGGCGGACGGGCGAGUAAUGUCUGGGAAACUGCCUGAUGGAGGGGGAUCACUACUGGAAACGGUAGCUAAUACCGCAUACCAUCGGAUGUGCCCAGAUGGGAUUAGCUAGUAGGUGGGGUAAAGGCUCACCUAGGCGACGAUCCCUAGCUGGUCUGAGAGGAUGACCGGCCACAGUGGAACUGGGACACUGUCCAGACUCCGACGGGAGGCAGCAGUGGGGAAUAGUGCACAAUGGGCGCAAGCAUGAUGCAGCCAUGCCGCGUGUAUGGAGAAGGCCUUCGGGUUGUAAAGUACUGUCGGCGGGGAUGCGGUACCCGCAGAAGAAGCACCGGCUAACUCCGUGCCAGCAGCCGCGGUAAUUC